rnacentral:rRNA from 1 species
UACGGAGGGGGCAAGCGUUAUUCGGAAUUAUUGGGCGUAAAGGGCGCGUAGGCGGCUAGAUGUGUCAAAGGUGAAAUCCCUCGGCUCAACUGAGGAACUGCCUUUGAAACUGUCUGGCUUGAGGCCGGGAGAGGGUAGCGGAAUUCCCAGUGUGGCGGUGAAAUGCGUAGAUAUUGGGAAGAACACCGGUGGCGAAGGCGGCGACCUGGUCCGUGACUGACGCUGAGGCGCGAAAGCGUGGGGAGCAAACAGG